rnacentral:misc_RNA from 1 species
UGCUGCCCAAAGUGAACACUGGGGAGCUGAAUCUGCGUUCUCUGGGGACAAAAGUUUUGAUGAAUCUGGUUGGGGUACAUUUGAUACAGACCUUGAUGCAGAUGCUGCAUGGAAUAUCAAUUCUGCUGCUAAGGAAUCUCGUGAUGAGAAGCACAAGGAAACUUCUCUAUUUGACGAUGACGACUGGGGCCUGAGGCCCAUAAAAACGGGAUCUGCAAAUUCCAGCAACUCGCUCCCUAAGCAAGCCCCAUUUUUUGAUUCUGUUCCUAGCACCCCUAGUAAUAAUACUGGGUUUAGUUACUCCGAGAACCAGUUCCCAAAGCAAAGCCCAUUCUUUGAUUCUG